rnacentral:ncRNA from 1 species
UAACUGAUAUCUCGAGGAGUGGAAUGAUUGGGUAACGCCUUGAAACGCUCCCUCUGAUACUGCGUUGGAGGAAACAGAGUGCAUUCUCUGGGACUGACACAGCACGCUGAAGUCGGCUGAAUGCAUCCGCUACUACUGUGUAGGGCAAAUCCGAACCAGAGAUGGUCGGGGAUGUUAGGUCGGGAGUCCAUAAA